rnacentral:rRNA from 1 species
ACGUAGGGGACAAGCGUUAUCCGGAUUUACUGGGCGUAAAGAGCCCGUAGGCGGUCGGCUAAGUUGGACGUGAUAGCUCCCGGCUUAACUGGGAGAGGUCGGACAAAACUGGCGGACUUGAGGCUGAGAGAGGCGAGCGGAAUUCCCGGUGUAGUGGUGGAAUGCGUAGAGAUCGGGAGGAACACCAGAGGCGCAAGCGGGUGCCUGGGCGACGACUGACACUGAGGGACGAAAGCGUGGGGAGCGAACAG